UACGGAGGGUGCAAGCGUUAUCCGGAUUCACUGGGUUUAAAGGGUGCGUAGGCGGGUAUGUAAGUCAGUGGUGAAAUCCCCGAGCUUAACUUGGGAACUGCCAUUGAUACUAUUAAUCUUGAAUACCGUGGAGGUUAGCGGAAUAUGUCAUGUAGCGGUGAAAUGCUUAGAUAUGACAUAGAACACCAAUUGCGAAGGCAGCUGGCUACACGAAUAUUGACACUGAUGCACGAAAGCGUGGGGAUCAAACAGG
rnacentral:rRNA from 1 species